GAACAAGUAGAGUGAUCGAAAGAUGAAAAGCACUUUGAAAAGAGGGUUAAACAGCACGUGAAAUUGUUAAAAGGGAAGCGCUUGUGACCAGACUUGCGUCCGGUGAAUCACCCAGCUCUCGCGGCUGGGGCACUUCGCCGGCUCAGGCCAGCAUCAGCUCGCUGUCGGGGACAAAAGCUUCAGGAACGUAGCUCUCUUCGGGGAGUGUUAUAGCCUGUUGCACAAUACCCUUCGGCGGGCUGAGGUACGCGCUCCGCAAGGAUGCUGGCAUAAUGGUCAUCAGCGACCCGUCUUGAAACACGGACCAAGGAGUCAACCUUAUGUG
rnacentral:rRNA from 1 species